GCAUUCUUGGCGCAAUUGGUAGCGCGGCUCACUUCGGAUGAGUAGGUUACAUGUUCGAUUCGUGUAGAAUGUA